rnacentral:lncRNA from 1 species
CAUAUUAUAAUGCAUAAUAUAAUUCAUGACCGACCAUAACUCUUUACUUUAUAGUCCAAAAAGGAAAUUCUUAUUAUAAUUCCACAAAUCAAAGCUAGGCAUAAACAUUAGGCCAGUCUUGCAUGGCCAUUAUACAUUUACCCUUCUAAAUAAUCCAGCUCCCCAAAAAAAAAUUAAUUUAUACGUGCCAUAUUUCUAGAUCAGAUUAUAAGAUAUUAAAAUAGCUGAUAGUGUGAUGAUCUUACUGACCGUUCCCCGAGCUUGCAGUUUAACUUCCAAAAAUCUAUAAAAUAAAAUAAAUAAACACACAGGGUAAGCUAACUCGACUUAGUAAGUCACAAGUAAAUAUUCAAUACUAUGACAAUUAAUCAUAGAUCAAAAAUAUAAUAUUACAUUCAAGUAAAUAAUUUGGCUAUUGAAAAGAAUUUAUAAUCAUGUACUGCCCAUGUAUCUAAUUCCCUUUGACCGAAUGCCCAACUUAUAACAUCAGAUAUAUUUCCCACUUACAAUCUUAUUAUCAUACACAUGGCCGUAUAUACUCCCUUACCUGAACACAUUCAUAAAUCUCAUUUCGUUGUACAUAUAAUCAUAUUUUAAACCCUAGUAGCUCAAUCGUUAUUCAAUCAUAAUUUCACUUCAUGCUAACAAAUAAUUUCCAUUAGGCCGAAUGUAACCUUCCUGUCAUAUACACAUAAUUUUCAUAUGUCACCUUCGCAGCUCACCUCAUGUCUUGAUAACCAACUUACCUUAUUUCAUAGAGAUUCAAUUGCCACGUAUACGACUUCUUCUAGUCUAAUUAAAUAUUUAUGAAUCAAUAUACUAAAAAAAAAUCGUCAACCUCACAGACCCAGUGCCAUAUAUCAGUAACGUAUCGCACACUUAGUGCCGUUACAUUAAUAUUAUCGCACACUUAGUGCUAAAGUCUCAUGACGUAUCGCAUACUUAGUGCCGUCACUUUAUUUCUCGUACACUUGAUGUUAAAUUUCAUCAAAUCAGUUUUACAUAUAAAUUUUAUAUUCCUCAAACCAACAUAUAAAUUUUACGUUUAAUUACUUAUAUAACAGUACAAUUAUACUUAAAACUUACCUCAGACGAUAUAAAACGAAACGGAACGGCUAGUUGACCACCUUCGUUUUUCCCCGGUCCAACUCCGAUUUUCUUGGUUCUUGAUCUAAACACAUUCAAAUUAAGCUUAUUCAAACAUGUCAUCAUUCAAUUUAGUCCAAAAACACACAAAUGGGUAAAUUACCAUUUUAUCCCUGACAUUUACAUUUUUUUUAAUUUAAUCCAUAUUGCACAAAACACGAAAUAAGCAAAAUUUAACAAUAUCUUGCUUAGGCCGAAUACUCCUAGCACACAUAUAAGUCCAUAUGUUUCACCAAUUUCACAUUUUAGUCCCUUAGAUUUUUAUUUUUGCUAUUAAGUCCUAAUUACUCAAAAUUAUCAAAAAUUCCAAUACAACAUAUGUAAACCCAACCUUUAUCUUUCUUAAUUCAUCAACAACCAACAAAAAUCACAAGCUCUCCUCAAUGGCAUAACUCAAAAUAUUCACCAAAAUCAAAAAUUCAAGCAUGAGUUUUAUAGUACUCAAAGCAACGAUCUCAAAAACGUAAAAAUUAUCAAAAACCGAGCUAGGACUUACCUUGAAUUAAGCUUGGAAGUGUACGAACCCUAGCUUUAUGUUUUCUUCUUUUCUUUGUUUUAUGUUCGACAAUGAAGAGAAAAAAAU